rnacentral:pre_miRNA from 1 species
UUAACUCAUAUUUGUAUGGAAUGGGAUCGUUAGCCUACGUUUGCCGCUAGGGGCGCUGUUCCAACUGCAUACAAAACUGGGCUA